rnacentral:rRNA from 2 species
GCGAGUGAGCGGGAAAGCUCAAAUUUAAAAUCUGGCGGCUUUGGUCGUCCGAGUUGUAUCCUAGAGAAGUGUUUUCCGCGUUGGACCGUGUAUAAGUCUCUUGGAACAGAGCGUCAUAGAGGGUGAGAAUCCCGUCUUUGACACGGACUACCAAUGCUUUGUGAUACACUCUCAAAGAGUCGAGUUGUUUGGGAAUGCAGCUCAAAAUGGGUGGUAAAUUCCAUCUAAAGCUAAAUAUUGGCGAGAGACCGAUAGCGAACAAGUACCGUGAGGGAAAGAUGAAAAGCACUUUGGAAAGAGAGUUAAACAGUACGUGAAAUUGCUGAAAGGGAAACGAUUGAAGUCAGUCGCGUUAGCUAGAACUCAACCAGGCUUGCUUGGCGUAUUUUCUAGUUAACGGGCCAGCAUCAGUUUUGACUGCAGGAAAAAGGCCAGGGAAAUGUGGCACCUUCGGGUGUGUUAUAGUCUUUGGUCAUAUACUGCGAUUGGGACUGAGGUUCGCAGCACGCGCAAGCUGUGCUUAGGAUGCUGGCGUAAUGGCUUUAAACGACCC